GAUGAACGCUGGCGGCGUGCCUAACACAUGCAAGUCGAACGGAGACACGCCUUUAAGGCUUUCGGGUCGAUGAGGGGAAGACUGAGUGGCGGACGGGUGAGAAACACGUGGGCAACUUGGCUCAUAGAGGGGGAUAACAGAGAGUAAUUUCUGCUAUUACCGCAUAAGUAGAUACUGCGGCAUGGCAGAGGGUGAAACGAGGAUCGCUAUGAGAUGGACCCGAGUCUGAUUAGACAGCGGGAAGGGUAAGAGCAUACCAAAGCGACAAUCAGUAGCCGAUCUGUGAGGCUGAGCGCCGACAUUGGCACUGAGACACAGCCCAGACUCCUACGGGAUGCAGGAGUGGGUGAUAUUGCACAAUGGCGUGAAUCCUGAUGCAGCUACGCCGCGUGAGUGAAGUAGUUAUGCGGUAUGAAAAGCUCAAUUAGCUGGGAAGAUCUUGACGGUACCUGAACAAGAAGCCCCGGCUAACUACGUG
rnacentral:rRNA from 1 species